rnacentral:lncRNA from 1 species
UAUAUGCACCCAAUACAGGAGCACCCAGAUUCAUAAAGCAAGUCCUGAGUGACCUACAAAGAGACUUAGACUCCCACACAUUAAUAAUGGGAGACUUUAGCACCCCACUGUCAACAUUAGACAGAUCAACGAGACAGAAAAUCAACAAGGAUACCCAGGAAUUGAACUCAGCUCUGCACCAAGCAGACCUAAUAGACAUCUACAGAACUCUCCACGCCAAAUCAACAGAAUAUACAUUUUUUUCAGCACCACACCACACCUAUUCCAAAAUUGACCACAUACUUGGAAGUAAAGCUCUCCUCAGCAAAUGUAAAAGAACAGAUAUUAUAACAAACUAUCUCUCAGACCACAGUGCAAUCAAACUAGAACUCAGGAUUAAGAAUCUCACUCAAAACCGCUCAACUACAUGGAAACUGAACAACCUGCUCCUGAAUGACUACAGGGUACAUAACGAAAUGAAGGCAGAAAUAAAGAUGUUCUUUGAAACCAACGAGAACAAAGACACAACAUACCAGAAUCUCUGGGACGCAUUCAAAGCAGUGUGUAGAGGGAAAUUUAUAGCACUAAAUGCCCACAAGAGAAGGCAGGAAAGAUCCAAAAUUGACACCCUAACAUCACAAUUAAAAGAACCAGAAAAGCAAGAGCAAACACAUUCAAAAGCUAGCAGAAGGCAAGAAAUAACUAAAAUCAGAGCAGAGCUGAAGGAAAUAGAGACACAAAAAACCCUUCAAAAAAUUAAUGAAUCCAGGAACUGGUUUUUUGAAAGGAUCAAGAAAAUUGAUAGAUCGCUAGCAAGACUAAUAAAGAAAAAAAGAGAGAAGGAUCAAAUAGACGCAAUAAAAAAAUGAUAAAGGGGAUAUCACCACCGAUCCCACAGAAAUACAAACUACCAUCAGAGAAUACUACAAGCACCUCUACACAAAUAAACUAGAAAAUCUAGAAGAAAUGGAUAAAUUCCUCGACACGUACACUUUCCCAAGACUAAACCAGGAAGAAGUUGAAUCUCUGAAUAGACCAAUAACAGGAUCUGAAAUUGUGGCAAUAAUCAAUAGCUUACCAACCAAAAAGAGUCCAGG